CACGUAGGGCGCGAGCGUUGUCCGGAAUUAUUGGGCGUAAAGAGCUCGUAGGCGGCCUGUUGCGUCCGCUGUGAAAGCCCGGGGCUUAACCCCGGGUCUGCAGUGGAUACGGGCAGGCUAGAGUGCGGUAGGGGAGAUUGGAAUUCCUGGUGUAGCGGUGGAAUGCGCAGAUAUCAGGAGGAACACCGAUGGCGAAGGCAGAUCGCUGGGCCGUAACUGACGCUGAGGAGCGAAAGCAUGGGGAGCGAACAGG
rnacentral:rRNA from 1 species